rnacentral:lncRNA from 10 species
GUGCUGGGAUUACAGCUGUAAGCCACCGCACUCAGCUGUAGCCUAUGUUUUUUUUAAUGUACAGGAUUUUUUAAAGUCCCUAGACUGGUGACCUGAACCACUAAUUAGAGAUGAUUAAAAAAUCUUGGAAAGUCUAAGGGUAAUACAUUUUGUGUCCUCUUUUGCACAGAGGAAGUCUGGUGCUGUUGACCUCAUGCAGGUGAGUGUGGCUGCUGGUCUCAUGCCAGUCCCUGAAAUUAGAGUUGCCCCUGUUUCUGCAGCCACCAGGGCCACACAAGGGGAGGCCACAUAAACAUAUGACCAGUAGAAGCAGGAAACUUCACCAACCACAUCCUCUUCAGAGCUGUCAGGAAUAGUAAAAUUUCCUAACAAGGAAGCAGGGUUCUUCCUUGUUCUUCCAGGUUGUUCUAGGAUUACCCAUCCUAAUCCACUAGGCUCUUUGAAAGUGCUGCCAUCGUUUCGAAAGUGGGGUCUAUGUAAAAGGGCUAAUCCUCUAAAGACAAGCUGAAUUUCCACACCCUUAGAGCCUUGACUGAUGUCACCCUCCUAGAAUCAGUGGAUGAGAGACUAGCAACUAAUUCAGUUUUACUGUUAGGGGCUCCUUUUCAGAGGUGAAAAACUAAAAUUCUGUAAUUUGUUAGAAAGUAAGUUUUUACAUUAUAAGGC